UGAAUCUCGAGGUUACUACGCGUGUCUUAAAGAAGCAUCUCCUAUUGUUCUUAAGAGCAAUACAAGACUAAUACAGGUCCACCAGCACACACAGAGAGACAUCAAGAGAGAGCAUCAACAUUGAACGUGCUCCACAGAGAUUUAGCUGUGGCAAGGGAUGGGCCUCUGAUUGAGCGGAGGUGCAAAAACGAAAGGGGAGAUGAGGAGAUGGGAAACAGAGGAUACAAGAAGUGGCCUUCAGGAACAAAGGAGAAAAAAGAUGGAGUCCGGUCCUUUUCAAAACAUCAUGAAACAGGCUGCCUGUCCAUUAGCACCUCUCUGUAGCACACUCCAAAGAGUCCAAAGAAAACGCUGGAUCGAACAAGAACAGUGACAGUGGC